rnacentral:rRNA from 1 species
GACGAACGCUGGCGGCGUGCUUAACACAUGCAAGUCGAGCGGAAAGGCUCCUUCGGGGGUACUCGAGCGGCGAACGGGUGAGUAACACGUGAGUAAUCUGCCCUUGGCUUUGGGAUAACUACCGGAAACGGUGGCUAAUACCGGAUACGACCACUCCUUGCAGGAGGUGGUGGUGGAAAGUUUUUUCGGCCAGGGAUGUGCUCGCGGCCUAUCAGCUUGUUGGUGGGUAAUGGCCUACCAAGGCUUCGACGGGUAGCCGGCCUGAGAGGGUGACCGGCCACACUGGGACUGAGACACGGCCCAGACUCCUACGGGAGGCAGCAGUGGGGAAUAUUGGACAAUGGGCGGAAGCCUGAUCCAGCAACGCCGCGUGAGGGAUGACGGCCUUGGUUGUAACC